UUUUUUUUUUUUUUAAUUUACAUUCUUCGCUCUGUUCCUGUCCUUUUUCAUGCGCAAUCAAAUUUGUCCAAACACAUCCUUGUGGUUCUGCAAUAUAUCCCGGCAUAAUUUUUGUUUCAUGCUUCUGGCUUUUUCUUGAUGAUUUCAUACAAUGGUUGAUCCUACGUAGUUGGAUUAACAAAAUCUUUUUCCAUGAAUUGCACUUGAUUUAUUACCUACAAACUACUGAAAAUAAUAGAAUAUUAUUAAUAGAUUGACAGGUAUAUCUGAAAACUUGCAAGUGAUAAUUUGUCAUUAUAAACUUCUUUUAGCCUUUAAAUUAGAACUUUGUUUUUUGUAUGUAUACAAAGUAGUGAUGCUGUCAAGGAAGAUUCAAUUUAGGAA
rnacentral:misc_RNA from 1 species